UACGUAGGGGGCAAGCGUUGUCCGGAAUUAUUGGGCGUAAAGAGCUCGUAGGCGGUUUGUCGCGUCUGCCGUGAAAGUCCGGGCUCAACUCCGGAUCUGCGGUGGGUACGGGCAGACUAGAGUGCGGUAGGGGUGACUGGAAUUCCUGGUGUAGCGGUGGAAUGCGCAGAUAUCAGGAGGAACACCGAUGGCGAAGGCAGGUCACUGGGCCGCAACUGACGCUGAGGAGCGAAAGCAUGGGGGAGCGAACAGG
rnacentral:rRNA from 1 species